UAAAUACCAAGUAAGUUAGGUGCCUUAGUUGAGGAGAAUAGGGAAUCAGGUGUAAGUCCUGAACGAUCCCGUCACUGUGAUUGGUAUUUUAGAACCAGCUGCCACCUAUUUUUUCUAAAAAAUAGGGAAGACAGCUGGUGGUUAAUCCAGCCAUCAGUCAGGAGACCUGCCUAACUUAUCGGCUUUCU
rnacentral:ncRNA from 2 species